CGGGCUGGUCAUCGUGACCCAGGUCCACCUUUCGACGGGUAAGACACCC
rnacentral:ncRNA from 1 species